AGCGUACACGGUGGAUGCCUAGGCAGUCAGAGGCGAUGAAGGACGUGCUAAUCUGCGAAAAGCGUCGGUAAACUGAUAUGAAGCGUACUAGCCGGCGAUAUCCAAAUGGGGAAACCCAGUGCAUUAAUGCACUAUCGUUUGACGAAUUCAUAGUCAAACGAGGCGAACCGGGGGAACUGAAACAUCUCAGUACCCCGAGGAAAAGAAAUCAACCGAAAUUCCCCCAGUAGCGGCGAGCGAACGGGAGCAGCCCAGAGUCAACAUCAAUAUUUAUCGUAGGAGAAGGGUCUGGAAAGGCCGGCAAUAAAGGGUGAUAGCCCCGUAUCUGAAACGGUAAGUGUUGUGAACUCGAAGAGUAGGGCGGGACACGUGUUAUCCUGUCUGAAUAUGGG
rnacentral:rRNA from 1 species